rnacentral:lncRNA from 1 species
AAUAGUUCUAUCCAGAUGUUUGUGAUGGAGCAUUAAAUUGUUUUACUGACCCCAGAGUCAACUCUGCAAGCACCAUUCUCCUUGAACUCAGAUAAUUGCUUUUCAGCAAAUUAAUAAAAGAGGGUGCAUUUGUCAUGAAAGAAAAUAUUUUCAAAAUCAGUAGAAUUUACCUACAACUAGUAAGGAUUGGUGUGAAGCUCUUCAUAAUUAUGGCAUCCUCAAGCUUAUCUAAUGGAGUAAUUGUAUUAAAAUGACACUAUAAAUCAUUAGAAUUUACAUCCUUUUUCCUACAACUAGUAAGGAUUGGUUUGAAACUCUUCAUAAUUAUGGCAUCCUAAUGUGAAGUAUACUUUUCUGGUGCCUCAAGCUUAUCUAAUGGAGUAAUUGUAUUAAACUGACACUAUGAAAGCACAAUGAUAGUAUUUACAUCAGUAGCCAAGCAACUAAGAGCUACAAGCUGUGUCUAUUGUGUGGCUAGAUUAAUGCUGCCUCUGGUCUCAGGAUAAAGACGUCCUUCUAUGGGAAAUACUGAGAAUUAUUUACUAUGUUUAUCUGUUUAUUUCAAUAUCUAUACUCCAAUUACUAACCAUUUAAGACCGCUAUUUUGUU